rnacentral:rRNA from 1 species
GAUGAACGCUAGCUACAGGCUUAACACAUGCAAGUCGAGGGACCAGCGCACGGGGGAGUAACACGUAUCCAACCUGCCCUUUACCCGGGGAGAGGCUUUCGAAAGAAAGAUUAAUACCCGAUAUAAAGGAUUGGGAUGCGUUCCAUUAGGGUGUUGGUGAGGUAACGGCCAGGCAAUACUGCGAUGGAGAGGGGUUCUGGGAGGAAGGCCCCCCAGAAUGGAACUGAGACACAGUCCACGCUCCUACGGGACGGAGGAGUGAGGAAUACUGGUGAAUGGGCUUUAGCCUGAACAAGCCAAGUAGCGUAAAGGAUGAAUGGUUAUGGGUCGUAAACUUCUUUUAUAUAAGAAGCGGUAUUAUAUGAAUAAGGCUCGGCUAACUACGUGCCAGCAGCCGCGGUAAUAC